ensembl:lncRNA
CUGAACUGGGGACAUUCUGAGCACCACUGAGGCUGUGGGUCCCCCACCCUGCCUUCCUUCUCUAGGGAACCCUUGGGUGGUGUCUGUGAGAGGAAAGAGGAAGAGCUGAGGUCCAGAGAGGGGAAGUGACUUGCCCAAGGUCCCCGGCCAAGUGGAUGAGCUGAGAUUGGAAUCUCGUGAUCCAGAGGCCAGAGCUUGCUGCCGGCACUUCGUGGCGCCGUGAUGGCUCAGCUCUGGACUGCCUGUUGGAGUGUCAGUCCCUGUGGGUCAAGGAGAUGCCCGUGGCUUGGUCCCAUGUCCCUCUGGCUUGGCAUUAGUCGUAUCACCCGUUGGGAUGGUUGCAAAAUCCCACUCUCUUUAGCAGUCGAUAAAGAGCGCCCAUUGCAAAACUCUCAGCGGCAAAAUUAUUAAAUGUUGUGUCACCCUGCGGCCAGGCCCUGGGUGCCCCUUUCCUGCCUGGAGGCCUGGGUGGAGCCGAGUUUUCACUCUCUCCCUCCUGUCCUGACCCAGCAGAGGCUGGGGUGGGCUGGGAGUCAGCAGGGGGCUUUCAGGGAGUGGGCAGAGGGCACACCUGGGCCCUGGGCCCACCCACAGCUCUCCACUUUCAGGAAAUGACGGCUCCACCCUUCCAGGUGCUCAGGCUCAAACCUUGGGGUCACUCGAUCCACCUCUUGUCCCACAUCCGAUAGUUGGUAGGAGAUUCUGUCAGCCCUACCCUUGAAAUACAUCCAGACCCAACCAGGUUGCCCCCCUUCACUUCCACACCUGGAUUCAAAGUACCUCGUUGCUGAUCUCGCCAUUUUCCACACAGCCCAAAGGGUCCUGCUAAACCCAGGUGGAUCCUAAGUCAGAUCUUGUCCUUCUGCUUAGAACCCUCCGUGGCUCAUGUCCAGAACACAAGCCAAAGUCUUCCCAAGGCCCACAGGGCCCUGCCUCAUCUGGCCCCAUUGCCUUUCUGACCUCCUCAUCACUACUCUCUCUUCCUAGCUCACUUUUCUCCACUCCGAUUGCCUCCUUGCGAGCUCUCCAACACACCAGAUGUGGUCUCCUCCCAGGGCUUUGCCUUGCUGUUCCAUGUGUCUGGAGCGCUCUUCCCCCAGCUCUGCCGCAUAGCUGGAUCCCGCGCGUCAUUCAGACCUCAUCUCAAUGUCACUGCCUCCAGGACGCCUUCCCUGGCUACCCUGCUGAAGCGUCACCUCCAGUAUCACCCUCAGCCCUUCUUUCUUCCUGACUUGCCAUCAUAUUACAUAUUUGUUUAUUUGUUUAAUAUGUGUCUCCUUCCUCAGGGCAGGGACUGUUGUCUGUUCUGUUCACAGUCCUUCCCUGGUGCUCAGCCCAGGCCUGGCCCAUAGCGCGUGUGUGCGUGUGUGCGCAGUCAUGUCUGACUGUUUGUGACCCCAUGGACUGCAGCCCACCAGCCUCCUCUGUCCACGUCUCUUCUUGUCCUCCUUCUCCAGGCAAGAAUACCAGGGUGGGCUGCCAUUUCCUCCUCCAGGGCAUCUUCCCGAUGCAGGGAUCGAAACUGCAUCUCCUGCAUUGGUGGGCAGACUGUUUACCACUGAGCCACCUGGGAAGCUCCUGGCACACAGUAGGUGUGCCACAAAGUUUUGCUGAAUCAGGGCAUGAGUGGGCAGGAAGGGCCAUGUCGGCCUAGAUUACACCUCAGUGAACCUCACCAGGGCCAGUGAACGUGCUUUGCCCUCUUCAGCUUGUAUUUGGAGACAUUUUCCUGGCCAGCCUGUCAGAUGGUCCCUCGACUGCCCGACUCCCCCGAGGGCCCCCUAUCCAGCUCCCUGACAGCACUCACCAUGAACUUGACUUGUUUUGUUUGUGUCUAUAUCUACUCUCAGCCCUCCUUCCCCCAGCCUCGGAGCUCUGUGACAACAGACCCACGGCUGCCUUGGUUCUCCCGCUGCUCCCCAGUGCCCAGCAAGGAGUCUGGCACCCUGUGGGAUGUGUCAGGGCCUGGCUGAUCCAGAUUUGUGUUACAAACCCGCCAGCAGAGCCCACUGGCCAGGAAGGAGUUAAGCGGAGACACGGUGCCCGGACCUGCAAAGUCAGGGAGAGAAGGGGGCCCGCUGGGGCCUUAAUUAUAACACGUCUGUCCCAUAAUGACACGGUGUUAUAAACGGCACACAAAGUGUACUAAUCUGAUAUUAUAUCUGGGCUUUUUACAAUAGAUACAAUCAACCGACUGUAGUUUGCUAACUCAUUCUCGACCUAUCUCCACGCUCCACCUAGAUUAUUAUCAGCUUCCUUAAUUAAGUGGAAGGCAGAGCUCUGCAGGCAAUGCCCACAGCCCCAGCACCACCAAGUCCAGCCCAGCCCUCCCAUAAGCCGGGAUAAUAGCUACUCCCACACGGGGCGAGGCUUCCACCGCCUCCUCCAUCCCAAACCCUUGUCCCAGGCUUGGGCGGGACAGGCCUGUUCAAGGCCUCCUGAACCAAGUGCUAACCACCAAGGGCUCAAGCUGGUGGCCCGUGGGCCUGCUUGGCCUCGAGGCACGUUGGGUUUGGCCCUUGCAGUGCUUUUGCUGAAAGUGAAAAUGAGUUGCCAACCCUGAACAUUAAGGAUGUUGCACAGAAACAUCCACACUUCUGGCUUCCCUUGAGAAACGAGAGGAUCCAGGGGCCCCGGGUUCGUAACUGCUGUGUGUUGGAGCUGAGGAAUGGCUGCCGCCAAGGGCCCUACCCGGCCACAGCCGCCCCCUACCUGUUUCACUUUUGUGUCCCUCCCUGACUCUUGUGGGCAGCUGAGUUUGCGACCCAAGCUGUAGGGUUAGAGGUCAGUUACCCAUUUGGAAGACACUGAGGCUCAGAAAGAGUGCGUGACUUAACUAAUAUUGCACGGUGAGCCCAGAACUCAGGUCGCAAUCCUUUACUAAGUCUUUCCUGAGCACCUACUGUAUGCCAGGCCCAGGGACACACACAGCGCGAGUGUGGUAAAUAUCAUCCCGCCUUCUAGAUGUAACACUCUCCUGCUCUCCACGGCCAUAAUGCCAUCUUUAUUGCUGGGUAAUGGUAUCUGUUGGAGACAGGUCCUUUCUCAUCCCCUUGAAGUAGCUGGAAGUAGAUUUUUCAUAGCUGCUGGACUCCAUCUUGGGACAGGAAGUGGAAGCAGCCAUCUUGGAAGGAAACCCUUGGAAGAGUUCCCAUGACAAGGCCGCCCCUACUUUCCAGUCUGGGCUCUCAGAGCGCAGGAGGGGGUGACAGGGUCGGCUGACAGGCAUGGAGGGUGGGAGUGAGGGUGUGUGGUGGGGAAGUGGGCAGAGAAGGCACAGGAGAAUCAGCUAGACAGAAUCGGAGGGCUUGUCCAUCCUGACUGAACCAAAGGUCAAUCAAUCAGGCUUCUCCCACUCCCUUCCAAAAGACAAAAUGUGGAAGGACAAGUCACCAGAAUACCCAAGUUAUGCCACUUGGCGGUCCAGGAAAAAGGCGUUUGCUCAGCCAGCUUGGGAGACAUCACUCCUCCCACCCCAACACCACAGCGCCAGCCCUGGUCAGGAGGAGAAACUGCAGCCAGGAACGUCUAUCCCCAGCCCCUCAGACCCUGCUCGGGUCUCACUGAGCCCAGGGCCAUCAAGGUUAUGGCAGACCUGCUGGCCUCCCAGGAGCCACAUGUGAAGAGCGUUCAGCUGCCCGCACGCUCUGUGGAGUGGUUCCUUACUGACGCGGGGCGGGGGGGAUGAAUAACAGUCCCAGCCAUCAUGUGCGUUUGCUAAAAAUAAACUUGACAUACUUUUGCGUUGGGAAACAAUGUGGAUUCCAAACAUUCUCAAAGGGCAGAGAGGGGAAAAAAGGGAAGAAUGGAAAUCAAGUUUUUGAGCUUAGUAAUUAAUUAGCCUGUAAACAAAUGACUCACGCUCUUUCCUGGCUAUUUUUCUUUCCGUUUUGCGUGGAUUUUCGUAGGGGCAGGGGGAGGGAGGCCAAGUGAACCAAACACAGAAGCAAGACUGGACCCAGAUCCGUCUCCCUGGGGUGCGGGAUGGCAACUGUUGGAGAAGGAGAGGCAGAGCUUCAGGUGGAGGGGACAGCUUGCUGCUCGCGGCAGCUCUGAGAACUGAAAGAGCUUGGCACAUUCCAGGAGCAGGGAGAAGCCUAGUAUGGCUUGAGUGGAGUAAGCAAGGGGGUAAAAUCAGAGAGGUCCCGGGGCCAGAUCAUUUGGACCCCUAUCUGUUGCAUGUGCAGCGUCUAGACUCGACCCUGAAGACGGUGGGAGCCACAGAAACGUUUUGAGCCAAGAAGGAAUAUCAUCUCAUUCAUACAAUGACGUCGUUUAAAAAUUGGGCGAUCAGAAUAAUAAAUUCGAAAUGUUCUCUGUUGUUUGGAUGCUUCUUGUCUUUAGAUUUCCCCAACGAAUACUGAUCCAGUGGUUGUAUUUCCUGAGGGUUCCUAGGGUUAGUGUCUGUCUCUUCUCCAUAGAACACCAGCCCCGUGAUAUCAGAGACUUUCUCGGUCUUGUUUACUUCUGUGCCCCUAGUGCCAAGACCAAGCCUUGGCACACAGUAGGAGCCCAGCAAAUGCUUGUCAAGUGACUGAGCCCUCUCUGCAAGGUCAGCAGUCUCGUUUCAUUUUGUCAAAGGAGGAGCGGAGGGUAGUGAGGGCCCCACAGCCAGCCUGGGAUGGUCCUGGGAAAGGCAUGUUUUAUUUAGUUCAAAAUAAGGAGAAGUUUUAAAGGGAAAAUCACUUCUGUAAGGGACUGGGCUCCCCAGUAAUGGGGGCAUUCAAAUAGGGUGCACACCACCAGCCCCACAGUACCUGUCUCUGAUUUGAGACAGACUUUGUGCCAGCUCACAGAUGUCAUCCGACAAUGAAUGAGGUUGGGGGUGUUGCCCAUUGUGCUGAGAAGUCGAGACCUAGAGAGGAGGUGUGACAUGUCCAAAGCCACACAGUCACAAGCAGGGGAGCCCACACUGGAAUCCAGGUAUGACGACGAAGGCUUUUAACUCCUUUUCUGAGCCGUCAACAUUGGUUGAGUCUCAGCUCCACCACUUAGAUGCUGUGUGACCUGGGGCAAGUCACUUUACCUUUCUGAUCUUCUGUGUCUUGCUACGUUAAAUGGGGGUGUGGAUACCUGCCUUGCAGGGCUGCUGGGUGGAGUUACGGAGGUCUGAGUGGAUAACAGCCACACACGGUGCUCAGAGCUCAUGGACCCCUCCUCUCUCUGCUUGGGUCCUUUUGACUUUGGCCCUCCUCCUGGGCUGUGGACCCCCUCUUCGGUCAGCCACUCCCCAGAGUCUGGUAUCCAGGCACCCACCGCCCACUGGGUGUUGAAUCACCCAUGCCAUGCGCUUCUUGCCUUCUGCCUGCAUUUUCUUCUUCCUCCUUUUCUUGGUAAACCUACUGCCUUGUCUGAUUGCCAAAGGUCCUCUCAGGGAGUGGCGAGCGGGGCAGGGAGACCCCUUCAUCCCACGAAUGUUUCCGCUGCUUCCUCAUCCCUCCCACCCUCACCACGCCAGCUGAGAUCACUAGGCACGAGGCUUGGACCAAGAGUGCAG